rnacentral:rRNA from 1 species
UACGGGAGGCAGCAGUGGGGAAUAUUGCACAAUGGGCGCAAGCCUGAUGCAGCCAUGCCGCGUGUAUGAAGAAGGCCUUCGGGUUGUAAAGUACUUUCAGUCGUGAGGAAGGUGUUAAGGUUAAUAACCUUAGCAAUUGACGUUAGCGACAGAAGAAGCACCGGCUAACUCCGUGCCAGCAGCCGCGGUAAUACGGAGGGUGCGAGCGUUAAUCGGAAUUACUGGGCGUAAAGGGCACGCAGGCGGUUAAUUAAGUUGGAUGUGAAAUCCCCGGGCUUAACCUGGGAAUGGCAUUCAAGACUGGUUAGCUAGAGUCUUGUAGAGGGGGUAGAAUUCCAUGUGUAGCGGUGAAAUGCGUAGAGAUGUGGAGGAAUACCGGUGGCGAAGGCGGCCCCUGGACAAAGACUGACGCUCAUGUGCGAAAAGUGUGGGGAGCAAAACAGGGAUUAAGAUACC